CAACGCGUGAAAGAAUGGAGGGAAGAUCACCCUUCUCAAAUCAAACAGUAAACUAAUCUGCUCCGCUUGGUCAUGUUGUCUACAAGCAAGCUAGUUGCAUCGUCCAGAAACAUACAUCACUUUUCCAUAAAAUAAGUGUUUAAAUUGUAAAACUAGUUUUCACUGGGAAGGCAGAUAACACGUUAUCAAAAGCAGUCACUUCUGCAUGUGAAAACACUGAAUCCUACUCAUCACUCCACGUGAUUAUUAUUUGUUUUGAGCCGACUUUGCCGUCGGCCAGAGCGSGAGGCAGSCCGGUUCCAAACCGAAUSCAAUCACUUUUUACCCGGUUCAAAUUCCUCCCACCGGGGUAACCCGGGARAGAAAAAUAAACCCAUAGAAUAGGGCUCCGUCUCCCCCAAAACGUUCAAAUCAAAAGGAUCAACUGCCGUUUGAGACUGAACAUCCCUAUACGGAUUGACCAACCAGUGGUGACCAAGUGUAAGACUGAUCCCCGGGUCAUGAACGGAUGCCGGGAUACCAGAGAAGCAAAAGUCUCCCUCAACUCCUAUGAAAAGGACACGCUAUCAUGAGGCCUCUGAUAGUGACCCGAGUUACUGCCCUGAUCAACAACGACAGCUGGACUGGAGAUGCUUUUGCCAGACGGCAGCCUCAGUCGUUUGAUGGGGAGACCCAUAGUAGGAAACAUGUAUGGAGCCAGGACAUGGAGACUUGCAAGAU